AGCAGUCGCCGCGGUAAUACGAAGGGGGCUAGCGUUGUUCGGAAUUACUGGGCGUAAAGGGCGCGUAGGCGGCCAUUCAAGUUAGAUGUGAAAGCCCUGGGCUCAACCUAGGAAUUGCAUUUGAUACUGUUUGGCUUGAGUUCGGGAGAGGUGAGUGGAAUUCCCAGUGUAGAGGUGAAAUUCGUAGAUAUUGGGAAGAACACCAGUGGCGAAGGCGGCUCACUGGACCGACACUGACGCUGAGGCGCGAAAGCGUGGGGAGCAAACAGGAUUAGAUACCCCUGUAGUCCCUGUCUCUUAUAC
rnacentral:rRNA from 1 species